GGCGCACGGGUGAGUAAUGCAUAGGUAACGUGCCCCUUAGUCUGGGAUAGCCACUGGAAACGGUGAAUAAUACCGGAUACUCCUACUAGCUUGAUGUUAGUAGGGAAAGUUUUUUCGCUAAGGGAUCGGCCUAUGUCCUAUCAGGUAGUUGGUGAGGUAAGAGCUCACCAAGCCAAUGACGGGUAGCGGGUCUGAGAGGAUGAUCCGCCACACUGGUACUGAGACACGGACCAG
rnacentral:rRNA from 1 species